GUGCCAGCAGCCGCGGUAAUACGGAGGGCGCGAGCGUUGUUCGGAAUCACUGGGCGUAAAGCGCGCGCAGGCGGGACUAGCAAGUCGGGAGUGAAAUCUCGGGGCUCAACUCCGAGGCUGCUUCCGAAACUGCGGACCUGGAGACUGGUAGAGGUGGGUGGAAUUCCCGGUGUAGCGGUGGAAUGCGUAGAGAUCGGGAAGAACACCGGUGGCGAAGGCGGCCCACUGGGCCAGUUCUGACGCUGAGGCGCGAAAGCGUGGGGAGCAAACAGGAUUAGAAACCCGCGUAGUCC
rnacentral:rRNA from 1 species